rnacentral:rRNA from 1 species
AUGAACGCUGGCGGCGUGCCUAAUACAUGCAAGUCGAGCGAACGGACGAGAAGCUUGCUUUUCUGAUGUUAGCGGCGGACGGGUGAGUAACACGUGGAUAACCUACCUAUAAGACUGGGAUAACCUCGGGAAACCGGAGCUAAUACCGGAUAAUAUUUUGAACCGCAUGGUUCAAAAGUGGAAGACGGUCUUGCUGUCACUUAUAGAUGGAUCCGCGCUGCAUUAGCUAGUUGGUAAGGUAACGGCUUACCAAGGCAACGAUGCAUAGCCGACCUGAGAGGGUGAUCGGCCACACUGGAACUGAGACACGGUCCAGACUCCUACGGGAGGCAGCAGUAGGGAAUCUUCCGCAAUGGGCGAAAGCCUGACGGAGCAACGCCGCGUGAGUGAUGAAGGUCUUCGGAUCGUAAAACUCUGUUAUUAGGGAAGAACAUAUGUGUAAGUAACUGUGCACAUCUUGACGGUACCUAAUCAGAAAGCCACGGCUAACUACGUG